GGGGCUGUGGCGCAGUUGGUAGCGCGUGUGAUUCCAGUCCAGGAACAUCCACAAGGUCGUUGGGUUCGAAUCCCACCAGCCUCA